rnacentral:rRNA from 1 species
CCUACGGGAGGCAGCAGUGGGGAAUCUUGCACAAUGGGGGAAACCCUGAUGCAGCAACGCCGCGUGAGUGAAGAAGUAUUUCGGUAUGUAAAGCUCUUUCAGCAGGGAAGAAAAUGACAGUACCUGACUAAGAAGCCCAGGCUAACUAGGUCCCAGCAGCCGCGGUAAGACGUAGGGGGCAAGCGUUAUCCGGAUUUACUGGGAGUAAAGGGAGCGGAGACGGCUGCGUAAGCCAGAUGUGAAAGCCAGGGGCUCAACCGCGGGACUGCAGAUGAAACUGUGAGACGAGAGUGCAGGAGAGGGAACGGGAAUUCGGGGUGUAGCGGUGAAAUGCGUAGAUAUCGAGAGGAACACUCGUGGCGAAGGCGGGUUACUGGACAGUAACUGACGCUGAGGCACGAAGGCCAGGGGAGCGAAAGGGAUUAGAUACCCGGGUAGUC